rnacentral:misc_RNA from 1 species
AAGGUCAUAACAAGGUUUCCCGUAGGUGAACCCUGCGGAAGGAUCAUUACCGAGAUAGGGCGAUCAACGUCGCCCGACCUCCAACCCCCGUAACUACCUCACCGAUUCCGUUGCCUCGGCGGGCCGCCGUCACCCUUUGCUGGGUGUCGCCGUCGGCGCCCUCGUGCGCUCUCGCGCGCCUGCCGGGGACCACACCGAAACUCUUGUUCAAAACCGAGCAGACUGAUGAAAAUUUUAAUACUUCAAAA